UACGGAGGGUGUAAGCGUUAAUCGUCAUCACUCGUUGUAAAGCGCGCGUAGGUGGCUUGAUAAGCCGGUUGUGAAAGCCCCGGGCUCAACCUGGGAACGGCAUCCGGAACUGUCAAGCUAGAGUGCAGGAGAGGAAGGUAGAAUUCCCGGUGUAGCGGUGAAAUGCGUAGAGAUCGGGAGGAAUACCAGUGGCGAAGGCGGCCUUCUGGACUGACACUGACACUGAGGUGCGAAAGCGUGGGUAGCAAACAGG
rnacentral:misc_RNA from 1 species